AGUGAACGCUGGCGGUAGGCCUAACACAUGCAGGUCGAACGGCAGCACAGUAAGAGCUUGCUCUUACGGGUGGCGAGUGGCGGACGGGUGAGGAAUACAUCGGAAUCUACUUUUUCGUGGGGGAUAACGUAGGGAAACUUACGCUAAUACCGCAUACGACCUACGGGUGAAAGCAGGGGAUCUUCGGACCUUGCGCGAUUGAAUGAGCCGAUGUCGGAUUAGCUAGUUGGCGGGGUAAAGGCCCACCAAGGCGACGAUCCGUAGCUGGUCUGAGAGGAUGAUCAGCCACACUGGAGCUGAGACACGGUCCAGACUCCUACGGGAGGCAGCAGUGGGGAAUAUUGGACAAUGGGCGCAAGCCUGAUCCAGCCAUACCGCGUGGGUGAAGAAGGCCUUCGGGUUGUAAAGCCCUUUUGUUGGGGAAGAAAAGCAGCAGGUUAAUACCCCGCUGUUCUGACGGUACCCAAAGAAUAAGCACCGGCUAACUUCGUG
rnacentral:rRNA from 1 species